rnacentral:rRNA from 1 species
UAGCGAAGGGGGCUAGCGUUGCUCGGAAUCACUGGGCGUAAAGGGUGCGUAGGCGGGUCUUUUAAGUCAGGGGUGAAAUCCUGGAGCUCAACUCCAGAACUGCCUUUGAUACUGAGGAUCUUGAGUUCGGGAGAGGUGAGUGGAACUGCGAGUGUAGAGGUGAAAUUCGUAGAUAUUCGCAAGAACACCAGUGGCGAAGGCGGCUCACUGGCCCGAUACUGACGCUGAGGCACGAAAGCGUGGGGAGCAAACAGG